rnacentral:rRNA from 1 species
CGUGCAGGCGGUCAAGUAAGUGGAAUGUGAAAGCCCCCGGCUUACCCGGGGAUCUGCAUCCCAAACUGCUUGGCUUGAGUACGGGAGAGGAUGAGGGAAUCCUGGUGUAGCGGUGAAAUGCGUAGAUAUCAGGAGGAACACCGGUGGCGAAGGCGCUCAUCUGGCCCGAUACUGACGCUGAGGCGCGAAAGCUAGGGAGGCAAACG